GCGGGCGUAGCAAUACGUCAGCGGCAGACGGGUGAGUAACGCGUGGGAACGUACCUUUUGGUUCGGAACAACACAGGGAAACUUGUGCUAAUACCGGAUAAGCCCUUACGGGGAAAGAUUUAUCGCCGAAAGAUCGGCCCGCGUCUGAUUAGCUAGUUGGUGAGGUAACGGCUCACCAAGGCGACGAUCAGUAGCUGGUCUGAGAGGAUGAUCAGCCACAUUGGGACUGAGACACGGCCCAAACUCCUACGGGAGGCAGCAGUGGGGAAUAUUGGACAAUGGGCGCAAGCCUGAUCCAGCCAUGCCGCGUGAGUGAUGAAGGCCCUAGGG
rnacentral:rRNA from 1 species